rnacentral:lncRNA from 1 species
AGAAAGCUACUUGCCUCGAUGCUCGCCGUAUGAUCGUAGGGAACCGACUGGACCAUCCACCCUACAUACAUAUACAUCAAAGGGAGAAACAGAUUACAGAUGCGUCGCAUAAACCCCAAGAAACCUCUCGGAACUGCAAUCCGCAAGAUAAAGUAGAGAAAUCUGACCUUCAAACAGGGAAAUGAAUAACAGAAAGAUGAAUAAUAAUCUCCCCAUGGCGACCACCAGUGCACGUGUACGUGUAUGUCCCUUCUUCUACUGAACUGGAGAGAUGUUUCAGUUGAUGGAGAUGGCGAGCUGAAUAUAUAUAGGCAAAGGGUAACUGAUUUGUUCUUGAGAAGAGAAGGUGGCGUGUUUGCUAGCUUCUCAGACCCUUGACUCAAGCGAAAGACAAGGCUGAAGCAGCAACAGUAGUG